CAGAAUCCUGAAUUCAAGCUAGUCUGGGACGUGGUGCCCCUCUGGAAGGACCGAGAGGGAAAGCAGAGAGACAGAAGCAAGACGAGGUGCUGCUUGUGGACAGUGAGAUCACGAUCUGAACCCAGAGACCCUCUAACUGGAUGGAGAAGAGCACUGUUUUGGCUCCUCUGGGAAGAGUUGGCCAUUUGCAUACCAUCUGUGGAGGAAGAAAGCCAGUGACCUGGGGCCUCUGCCCGACAGAAACCACGAUCCCCUGCAGACAUCUGAACGCCUUCUGGCUAGACGGUAUACUUCCAGUCACCCUCAGUGAGAGGCAAGGGUGCAAGCAGCCUCUGCUCUGGGGCACUAUGCAGGCACCGGGGAUCCAUGGAUGAAGAAGCAGUGGGCCCGGCCUGGAGACACCUAAGCCAGGAGAAGGCUCCAGACAGGGAGAGAGGCCAUUUCAGUACAAGGCAUGUGCUCAGGACACCUUUCCCCAACCCUAUCAAGACACAAAGGGCAUUUUAGCCUCAUUCUAGACUCGGGCUCUGUGUCUGUCCCUCACUGCAUACCACAGAACACUUUCGGGUUUCUUUAUCUCAGAACAACCAUUAGCAUCCCAAAGGAUACAGGCUUUCCUGGCCUAUGAGGCCAGUGGGUUAGGAACCCUGGUCUAGUAUCGGGAUGUGAGCUGAGCAUGGCCAAUAUUCACACCUCCCUAGAGGAAAAUCUGUAUGGCUCUUCGCCUCCCUUCCGUCAUCCAUACUCAGUCAGAAUUUGGUCACUCAUAAGAAGCUGGUAUCUCUCCCAGAGCUUCCAUAUGGCUUUGAUCACCUCAGUAAAACUCCCAUCCCCAAGUGCUGAAUCAUGAAGAAACCCGAGGGUCAUGUUGUCCCUUGAAAAGAAAUGCUGAA